UAGUCAUAUGCUUGUCUCAAAGAUUAAGCCAUGCAUGUCUAAGUAUAAACGCCUUUAUACUGUGAAACUGCGAAUGGCUCAUUAAAUCAGUUAUAGUUUAUUUGAUAGUACCUCUUUACUACAUGGAUAACCGUGGUAAUUCUAGAGCUAAUACAUGCGAAAAAUCCCGACUUUUGUGGAAGGGAUGUAUUUAUUAGAUAAAAAACCAACUUUUCCUUUCCCCUCGGGGGAGGGAAAAACCCCCUUUGCUUUGGUGAUUCAUAAUAACUUGUCGAAU
rnacentral:rRNA from 1 species